AUUGGCCUACGGGGCGCAGCAGUGGGGGAUAUUGCACAAUGGGGGGAACCCUGAUGCAGCGACGCCGCGUGGGUGAAGGAGUGCUUCGGCAUGUAAAGCCCUAUCGGCAGGGAAGAAGCAAGACGGUACCUGACUAAGAAGCCCCGGCUAACUACGUGCCAGCAGCCGCGGUAAUACGUAGGGGGCGAGCGUUAUCCGGAUUCACUGGGUGUAAAGGGAGCGUAGACGGCCAUGCAAGCCAGGGGGGAAAGCCCGGGGCCCCACCCCCGGACUGCCCUUGGAACUGCCUGGCUGGAGUGCGGGAG
rnacentral:rRNA from 1 species